GACGAACGCUGGCGGCGUGCUUAACACAUGCAAGUCGAGCGGUAAGGCCCUUUCGGGGUACACGAGCGGCGAACGGGUGAGUAACACGUGGGUGACCUGCCCUUAGCUCUGGGAUAAGCCUGGGAAACUGGGUCGUAAUACCGGAUAUGACCUCAUGACGCAUGUUGUGGGGUGGAAAGCCUUGUGCGGCUAGGGAUGGGCCCGCGGCCUAUCAGCUUGUUGGUGGGGUGAUGGCCUACCAAGGCGACGACGGGUAGCCGGCCUGAGAGGGCGACCGGCCACACUGGGACUGAGACACGGCCCAGACUCCUACGGGAGGCAGCAGUGGGGAAUCUUGCGCAAUGGGCGAAAGCCUGACGCAGCGACGCCGCGUGAGGGAUGACGGCCU
rnacentral:rRNA from 1 species